CACAGGCUGGCUCUUCUGGAAUGCACAGUGGGGAAUCAAACUCCCAACAUCUGCUCUACAGUCAGAUGCAAUCACUAUUACCAGGGAUUAGACUAUAUAAGUACAUAAAUGGAUAGAGUGAUGGACUGGGACUCUGGAGAAGGGUUCAGAUCCCAACUUGGCCAUGGAAGCUGACUGGGGGAGUGGAAUUGGUUAAAACACUGCUUAAAUAACUCACCUUGAAACCCCUAUUGGUCAGUUCAGACUUGAAAGUACAAAACAGACACAAAGUACAUAAGCGGGCAAGUGCAGAACCUGCUUAGGACUCAUUUCUACAAGUGUUCAGCCUGUCCUUCUAUCUAUUUCAGCUGUACUCCAUGUGAACUCAGGAACUCUGUUGCGUGCAGGUAUUAGCACAGGCUAGUUAGACCUUAUUGUUUCUGCUGUGGUCAUUUCCAAACUGUUUUUGUACGUUGGCUUGGUUCUUUGUUUUUUUUCCCAAUAAUCCCCUCUUUAAUCUGGCUUUCCCUCCCCUAUUUCUUCAAGAAAUUUCUCCAGAGCUUGCGCCUUUAUUCAGAAUGUGGGUUGGAGAGUUGAUCCUAAAUCCACCCUGGAUGCCUUGUUGCCCAACAUAGCUAUUUAGUGAGGUGGUGGUUCUGCCCUUCUGUGCUGGUUUUAGCUCUGAGGAUUAAGUGCCUUGAGACAGCUGACUCCAUUUAUUCUGUCAGGCUUUCCUAAGUGGUAAGGAUCCUUAGAGUGCAACAGGAAGUGAACUGUGGGACCUCCUUUGGUCCAGGCCCAGCUUGGGCAGCUCAAGCUGAUCACCUCAGGAAGUAAACUGUAAGCAUUGGGGAGUUUGACCUUUCACAGACCUUUUCUCCCCAGUGUCUUCACACACAAAAAAUGGAAGCAAGCAUAAGUGAUAUGGCUGAAAGUAGUCUGAGUCUGGGGGAGAACAGUAUCAUUCUUACCCUAAUGGAUGAACAACCACAGUGGAUUCUUGAUCCUGGAAGCUUCCUAGGAGCUGCAAUUCACAUCUGCAUAUGUCUCAUGCCCUCCCUCUCCACACACUAUCAAGCACACAUACUCAUUUUUCCAAAAGCAGAAGUGGAUACCAAGUUAUUUCUUGAUUAUUUUGUUGUUGUUGUCGUUGUCAAUUGGGAGCAUUCGUGGUUGUCCACACAGCCCCCAAAGCAUCCCGGAGGGGACAGAAAGUUUGUUCCUAGACCCCCCCCCAACUUUGAAAAUCCCUCUUUUAAAUGAAUGAGAGUCAGAAAUACUUGCCAGCACCAUCCAAAGCACCCAGAGAUCUACAGUACCUUCAGAACUCCCUUUGCCUCAUCCUUAUUCAAGUCUAUGACCCUGACUUUUAAGAUAGGUAUAAGGAACAUCACUAGUUUUGGAUCUCAGAGCUCCAGCCUACCACUGGCUUUAGCAUCUCACUAUAUUAAUUCUUCUAAGAGUUUAUUUUCCUACCAUUGCCCGUGUCAAUAGACUAAGAUCCAGUGAUUAGCCAUAAUCAAUACACAUAGGACCAGGCUCCUACUUUCGCUUCCAGCAAUCUAUUGCCCAUGUGCACUGGUGAUAUCCACAUACAAACAUGUUAGUACUGGAAGUGAUGGGCAAGAGGACUCGCCCUACAAUCCUGGACACAUGGAGAGAGGGCAUCUUCCUGGAAGUCUUAAGGCACUAUUAUAACAUGGGUCUUUCUGAUAUAGGUUGGCCUAUUGACAUAAUUUCCUCUACACAUUUCUCAGAUGACGGUCCCAGUGGUUUCAAUGGGCUGUGUUUCGGUGGAAUGUUUACUUUUAUAAUCCAGACCUCUUUUCUUCUUCUUUAAAGGGGAUUUAGCUAGGAAAAUGCAUUGCUAAGGGACUGGCUAUUUUUAUCAUAUUGAUAUAUUUGUUACAAUUAUAUCACUCCUUUCUUCUAUGAUAAAACGCAAUGGACGGUAUUCUUGAGUGUCCCAGAUGGUCCCUAUCCAUAUAUUGGUUAACCACUCACCACAAAAAGAUGUAUGCCCAUUUCCUGUAAUUCAGUGGACCUUGCAACUCUGUUAUACAAACUCGUCACAUACAGAUGACCACUUCACAUGGAUACAGCUGAAGAUAUUCAGAAGGUAAGCUUGGAAAGAAGAGUGGCCUGCUUUUUUAAGAAGAAGACAGAAGAAAGAAAGAAAAGAAACUGAUGUGGCAGAAAGAGUUUUGAAAAUGUUCCCAUUAAGUCAUGCCUCUCCGAAAAUGCAUAAAGUGCUAAUUGGGUAGGGAUUUGCCAGUGCAACUGAACACAGAACAUCCUCCACUGCAGCAUUUCAAGUGACGUCCAAUGAUAUGAAAUCUCUGGAAAAGAGUACCCUGCUCUGUGACAUCUGUUUCACUGAUAUAAAAUAACAUGAUUUUAAAGUCUCUGAGUGCUGAUCGUUAAUGGAGGAACCUAAACCACAGAGCUCUACGUACUCUCUGUGUUUCAAUAAUCUCCAAGGGUGAAAUAUGAUCCUUACAAGAAAAGACCCCACACCUUAUUGCAAAAGGGAGGAAGUCAAAUAUUUAAGAUCAGGACACUGCAAAGACGUGGAAGUUAUGACCAAAAUCCAACUGCUGGUUCAGCAGAAUAGACCCAUUGAACCAUUCAGUCCCUGAAUCAAUUGGUCUAUUCUAAUUGGAGCCAACACUGGGAUUUCAGUCCAUAUAAAAUAAUUAAAUGCCUUGAUACAUGUUAAGAUUUUUCUUAGAAUUUGGAAGGCUGGACUUAAGAGAUCACUUAUGGGGCAUUAAUGGCCAAGUGUCUUCCACCUGGAAUUCUAGCUUGGCUGGAGGAGCCUUCGACAUGAUUUUAAUCCAGCUGAGUGUGGUGCAUUUUAUAAUUUAUUUAACUAGCAGGAAUCCUCUUGACAAUCUGUGUGUGCGAAAGCAAACUACAAGAAUAUAAAUUCUUCAAGGCAGCUAGAGUUUAAUUUUUGGAAGCAAUUCCUACAUUUUAGAAAGAAAACCAGAGUUUAUUCUAUUUUAUUGAGCUCUCGGCAUUUUCAGUAAAAGUCAGAGUUAUUUCAACACCAAAGGUAGCUACAAGUGGGAAAGUGAAAAAAAACUAAAUGCAGUGAGUGUCAGCAUACUGCAAUAUGUUUUUCAGAUCUCAUGGAACCAUCCACUUUUUGUUUGCUGCAGCUUCUUUCUGAAGUGCCUAACAUAAGGAGGAAUGUGCACAGGAACUGGCUCUCUCUUUCUGGUGCGGCCACAGAGGCCAUUAGGACCAACUCUUUGCCAUCAUAUCAGGAGAAGAAGAAUCUAUAAAUAAUCUCCAGUUUUACUUACUUCAUUGUUAUAUUCUAAAUGACCUUACGUAUGUGCUUUGGGAGCUGUGCCAGUAGAAAAACAAGUUAAAGACGCAACAAAUCCUUCUUCCAGCCCUAAACUUCAUGGGAUUUAGAUGACACAAUUUGUCACUCAGGAGAACAAAAAUACUGUACAAGGUAACACAGAAAUAGUGAUUGGCCAACAGACUUUGGAAACCUUUGGAAGUUUUGGAAAAGAUCAAGCCCCAUAGGCUACAAAGUGGCAAAGUGUGUGCCAUUUCCGAAACUACACUGACUUGUGUCCAAUAAGGCAGGAAGUAUGAAGCUGUUUGCCUCUCUUUGCAUGUGCAUGAAUGUUUAAUUGCAGUAGAUUCAAAGAAGGUGUGCUUGGAAUUAACUAUAAAAAUGCUCGUUUAAGGUAGUUAAAGGUUGCCGAAUCUACGGUUCCUCAGGGAAAUGAAGGGAUUUGAGAUCCAGGGAAUCUAAGGCCACUUUUACUUUGCUCCAGAAAGUUCCUGUUUUGGUCUCUGAUGAUGGCAAGACCCUCACAGGGCUAUGAAGGAGCCUCAUGGUGCAGUGGUUAAACCAUUGUACUGCAGCCAAAACUCUGC